rnacentral:rRNA from 1 species
CGGCGGACGGGUGAGUAACACGUGGAUAACCUACCUAUAAGACUGGGAUAACUUCUGGAAACCGGAGCUAAUACCGGAUAAUAUAUUGAACCGCAUGGUUCAAUAGUGAAAGACGGUUUUGCUGUCACUUAUAGAUGAAUCCGCGCCGCAUUAGCUAGUUGGUAAGGUAACGGCUUACCAAGGCAACGAUGCGUAGCCGACCUGAGAGGGUGAUCGGCCACACUGGAACUGAGACACGGUCCAGACUCCUACGGGAGGCAGCAG